rnacentral:lncRNA from 1 species
AUUGAAUGGAUGGUAAAACUUCUUGUGCUAUCUUUCUUUCGGCAGAAGAUCACGUGCAGAUGUGAGUUUCUGUUAAAUCUUUACUUCACAAAGAAUGCAUUUGCAUACCAAUGAACUGAGUUCAAAGCAAAGCAUUUACACUUGGACAAAGCUCAAUCCUGUGAUAAACUUUGUAAUAGAUGACUGUCAAUAAUGUUCACCCUUCAUAACCACCAACAUGCCAAACA